GGAGAGGUGACCGAGUGGCCGAAGGUGCACGAUUGGAAAUCGUGUGUAGUGCAAGCUACCGCGGGUUCGAAUCCCGCUCUCUCCGCCA
rnacentral:tRNA from 1 species